rnacentral:tRNA from 1 species
ACCGGAAUGGUGGAACUGGUAGACACGCACGUUUCAGAGGCGUGUGCCGCGAGGUAUGCGGGUUCGAGUCCCGCUUCCGGUA